rnacentral:rRNA from 1 species
UACGAAGGGGGCUAGCGUUGCUCGGAAUCACUGGGCGUAAAGGGUGCGUAGGCGGGUCUUUAAGUCAGGGGUGAAAUCCUGGAGCUCAACUCCAGAACUGCCUUUGAUACUGAGGAUCUUGAGUUCGGGAGAGGUGAGUGGAACUGCGAGUGUAGAGGUGAAAUUCGUAGAUAUUCGCAAGAACACCAGUGGCGAAGGCGGCUCACUGGGCCGGAACUGACGCUGAGGAGCGAAAGCGUGGGGAGCGAACAGG